rnacentral:lncRNA from 1 species
GUUUAAUUUUGUGGCCUUGUUUCCAUUAUCAUCUCAUCUAGAAAAAGACUUGGCUGCUUUACUUCUUGGGAUGGCAGAAUUUCUGUGAAUUAUCUAAAGAACUACACUGUGUCUGAGUCCUAGGAUAAUGGAGGCAUCUAUGGAGAGUCCUACUUGCACAGGGAUAUGAAACUUGACUGCUGGAGGUACUCUGAAAAGUGGGAUCAAGCUUUCAGAUGAAGUGGUGUUGAGGAAGGAAGUCAACAUUGCCACCAACCUGUAAACUUCAGAGAGCUGCAAUUCCUAAACUUCUUCAUGGGACCCAGGAUUGAUGUUGUGGCAUUUAAAUGGUAGUGACAUCAACCUAGCCCAAUGCAGUUAAAGGAACUGACCAAUCUGUCCUUUCAGAAUACUGAUUAAAAAAAUACAAUUCUUUCCCUUCUCUUUGAAACCUAUGGCCAAAGCAGUUGACAUGAAGAGGCCCACA